rnacentral:misc_RNA from 1 species
UUUUCCGGAUAGGACGAGAAAAACCCAUCAUGAUCAACUAAAAGGAAAUCCUGCCACUUUUUACACUCGAAACAGAUUUUAGUUUUCAUUUUGCUUGUUUACUUCUGAUGAAGUUUGAAUUCUUCUUUUAGGAGAUGGAGUGUCUCCUUUGUCUUGAAGAUGAACCAGAGGACUUGGCGUCCCCCGGAACCAUUGAAGUUGGGCUCUGUGAACUCCCUGAUGUCUCUGAGCUUCUGUUCUCUCCUUGCCCUUUCCCCAUGACCCAUAACUUGUCAAAUAUUCUCCUUGAUCGAGAAGGCAACAACUGUGUGCCACUUUUGCUGUUCUUGCUGUUUUUCUUCAUCAUUUUUCCAUUUUUCUGGAAUUCUUCGUCUUUUAUCUUCAGUUGACUCAUCUGUUUCUUGACACAUUUGUUAUCAUCUGCUGCUGUCUUCUCCCAUUCUUCAUCUGUGUUUGUCGUUAAAUUUGACGCAUCACGGGCAUUGCCGUUGGGAGCUUGAACACCAGCACUGAAUCUAACCUGCUCAAAAAAUAAAAC